UUUGACAAAUGGGGGAACCCUGAUCCAGCCAUCCGCGUGUGCGAAUGAAAGGCCUCCGGUUGUAAACCAACUUCGGCAGGAAAAGAAAUCGCCCCAAAUUAAUACUUUGUGUGGAUGACCGGUACCUGCAGAAUAAGCACCGGCUAACUACGUGCCAGCAGCCGCGGUAAUACGUAGGGUCCAAGCGUUAUCGGAAUUACUGGGCGUAAAGCGUGCGCAGGCGGGUUAUAUAAGCACAGUUGUGAAAUCCGGGCUCAACUGGGAAUUGCAUCUGUGACUGUAUAGCUAGAGUACGGUAGAGGGGAUGGAAUUCCGCGUGUAGCAGUAAAUGCGUAGAUAUGCGGAGGAACACCGAGGCGAAGGCAAUCCCCUGGACCUGUACUGACGCGCAUGCACGAAA
rnacentral:rRNA from 1 species